GACGAACGCUGGCGGCGUGCUUAACACAUGCAAGUCGAACGGAAAGGCCCUGCUUGCAGGGUACUCGAGUGGCGAACGGGUGAGUAACACGUGGGUGAUCUGCCCUGCACUUCGGGAUAAGCCUGGGAAACUGGGUCUAAUACCGGAUAGGAGCCAUUUUUAGUGUGAUGGUUGGAAAGUUUUUUCGGUGUAGGAUGAGCUCGCGGCCUAUCAGCUUGUUGGUGGGGUAAUGGCCUACCAAGGCGGCGACGGGUAGCCGGCCUGAGAGGGUGGACGGCCACAUUGGGACUGAGAUACGGCCCAGACUCCUACGGGAGGCAGAAGUGGGGAAUAUUGCACAAUGGGCGCAAGCCUGAUGCAGCGACGCCGCGUGGGGGAUGACGGCCUUCGGGUUGUAAAAUCCUUUCGCUAGGGACGAAGCUUUUUGUGACGGUACCUAGAGAAGAAGCACCGGCUAACUACGUG
rnacentral:rRNA from 1 species